UGAGGAAUAUUGCGCAAUGGGCGAAAGCCUGACGCAGCGACGCCGCGUGGAGGAUGAAGGUCUUCGGAUUGUAAACUCCUGUUAAGCGGGAAGAAAUACCUAUCUUUAAUACAGAUAGGGGAUGACGGUACCGCUAGAGAAAGCACCGGCUAACUUCGUGCCAGCAGCCGCGGUAAUACGAGGGGUGCAAGCGUUAUUCGGAAUGAUUGGGCGUAAAGGGUGUGUAGACGGUUUUUUAAGUCACCUGUUAAAUUCUUCGGCCUAACUGAAGACCUGCAGUUGAAACUGAUUAACUUGAGGAUGGAAGAGAGAAGUGGAAUUCUCGGAGUAGCGGUAAAAUGCGUAGAUCUCGAGAGGAACACCGAUGGCGAAGGCAGCUUCUUGGUCCAUUCCUGACGUUGAAACACGAAAGCGUGGGGAGCAAACAGG
rnacentral:rRNA from 1 species